rnacentral:lncRNA from 1 species
UCUUCACUGCCAGGCCCCUGAGAAAUAACACAGUUCUCAACAGUGUUUGGUUCAAGGCACUUCCUUCCUCUGUGGCUGCUGGAUUUCAAGACAAAGCUUCCAGAAUGUUAAAAGAUUUUGAAGUAUGUAAUAAAAAGAUAAACAGAACAAAAUUAAAAGUCCAGAAAAAAAGUCCAGAAGAAGAC